GGACAGAUGGCCGAGCUGGUUAUGGCGCCAGGUUAAGGUCCUGGUCACGAAAGUGGCGUGGGUUCAAGUCCCACUCUGUUCA
rnacentral:tRNA from 2 species